rnacentral:rRNA from 1 species
AUCAACUUUCGAUGGUAGGAUAGAGGCCUACCAUGGUGGUAACGGGUAACGGGGUGUUAGGGCACGACACCGGAGAGGGAGCCUGAGAAACGGCUACCACAUCCAAGGAUGGCAGCAGGCGCGCAAAUUACCCAAUCCCGACACGGGGAGGUAGUGACAAUAAAUAACAAUACGGGGUUCUUUAGGAUCUCGUAAUUGGAAUGAGUACAAUUUAAAUCUCUUAACGAGGAACAAUUGGAGGGCAAGUCUGGUGCCAGCAGCCGCGGUAAUUCCAGCUCCAAUAGCGUAUAUUAAAGUUGUUGCAGUUAAAAAGCUCGUAGUUGAAUUUCGGGGUCAGUAGGUUGGUCGUGCCACCGGUACGUACUGGUCUCACUGAUUCCUCCUUCCUGAUGAGCUGUAAUGCCAUUAAUUUGGUGUUGCAGGGAAUCUGGACUGUUACUUUGAAAAAAUUAGAGUGUUUAAAGCAGGCUAGCGCUUGAAUACAUUAGCAUGGAAUAAUGAAAUAGGACGUUCGAUCCUAUUUUGUUGGUUUCUAGGAUUGACGUAAUGAUUAAUAGGGAUAGUUGGGGGCAUUAGUAUUCAAUUGUCAGAGGUGAAAUUCUUGGAUUUAUUGAAGACUAACUACUGCGAAAGCAUUUGCCAAGGAUGUUUUCAUUAAUCAAGAACGAAAGUUAGGGGAUCGAAGACGAUCAGAUACCGUCGUAGUCUUAACCAUAAACUAUGCCGACUAGGGAUCGGAUGAUGUUAAUUUUUUAAUGACUCAUUCGGCGCCUUACGGGAAACCAAAGUGUUUGGGUUC